UACGUAGGGGGCAAGCGUUGUCCGGAAUUAUUGGGCGUAAAGAGCGCGUAGGCGGUCCGAUAAGUCGGCUGUGAAAGUCAGGGGCUCAACCCUUGAAAGCCGGCCGAUACUGUCGGACUAGAGUCCGGAAGAGGCAAGUGGAAUUCCCGGUGUAGCGGUGAAAUGCGCAGAUAUCGGGAGGAACACCAAUGGCGAAGGCGGCUUGCUGGGCCGGACCUGACGCUGAGACGCGAAGGCGUGGGGAGCGAACGGG
rnacentral:rRNA from 1 species